rnacentral:rRNA from 1 species
GUGAUCUGCCCUGCACUUCGGGAUAAGCCUGGGAAACUGGGUCUAAUACCGGAUAUGACCUCCUAUCGCAUGGUGGGUGGUGGAAAGAUUUAUCGGUGCAGGAUGGGCCCGCGGCCUAUCAGCUUGUUGGUGGGGUAAUGGCCUACCAAGGCGACGACGGGUAGCCGACCUGAGAGGGUGACCGGCCACACUGGGACUGAGACACGGCCCAGACUCCUACGGGAGGCAGCAGUGGGGAAUAUUGCACAAUGGGCGAAAGCCUGAUGCAGCGACGCCGCGUGAGGGAUGACGGCCUUCGGGUUGUAAACCUCUUUCAGCAGGGACGAAGCGCAAGUGACGGUACCUGCAGAAGAAGCACCGGCUAACUACGUGCCAGCAGCCGCGGUAAUACGUAGGGUGCAAGCGUUGUCCGGAAUUACUGGGCGUAAAGAGUUCGUAGGCGGUUUGUCGCGUCGUUUGUGAAAACCAGCAGCUCAACUGCUGGCUUGCAGGCGAUACGGGCAGACUUGAGUACUGCAGGGGAGACUGGAAUUCCUGGUGUAGCGGUGAAAUGCGCAGAUAUCAGGAGGAACACCGGUGGCGAAGGCGGGUCUCUGGGCAGUAACUGACGCUGAGGAACGAAAGCGUGGGUAGCGAACAGGAUUAGAUACCCUGGUAGUCCACGCCGUAAACGGUGGGCGCUAGGUGUGG